rnacentral:rRNA from 1 species
GAUGAACGCUGGCGGCGUGCCUAAUACAUGCAAGUCGAGCGAAUGGAUUAAGAGCUUGCUCUUAUGAAGUUAGCGGCGGACGGGUGAGUAACACGUGGGUAACCUGCCCAUAAGACUGGGAUAACUCCGGGAAACCGGGGCUAAUACCGGAUAACAUUUUGAACCGCAUGGUUCGAAAUUGAAAGGCGGCUUCGGCUGUCACUUAUGGAUGGACCCGCGUCGCAUUAGCUAGUUGGUGAGGUAACGGCUAACCAAGUCAACGAUGCGUAGCCGACCUGAGAGGGGGAUCGGGCACACUGGGACUGAGACACGGCCCAGACUCCUACGGGAGGCAGCAGUAGGGAAUCUUCCGCAAUGGACGAAAGUCUGACGGAGCAACGCCGCGUGAGUGAUGAAGGCUUUCGGGUCGUAAAACUCUGUUGUUAGGGAAGAACAAGUGCUAGUUGAAUAAGCUGGCACCUUGACGGUACCUAACCAGAAAGCCACGGCUAACUACGUGCCAGCCGCCGCAGUAA